UAUCAUUAUAGUUUUAGCUGUACGGAAAUAUAUGUGAACAAUGUCUCAGCUUUAUUGACGUCACCUUACUGUAAGGUUUAUACUUUGCAUUGAAUUCCCGUGUGAAAGGUGAGCGACCCCGCUUUAAUUGAGACGCAUCAGUUGAAACCCGUGGUUCGCUGCACAUUUGCAGUUCACGACACGACUACGUCUCUCACAGCGGAGGCACCAGCUACCGGCUCACCUCUGCAUCCUCCAAGCUUGCCGACCACUCCGGAAGAGGUCGUCGCAAGCCGCUCUGCUCCAUCGCACGACCACUUGCGGAAGAGGCAGUUCUUCCCUUAGGCGCGUCUCCAUCGUCGGCCACAAGACCGAAGCGAGGAUUUCGGCCCCCAGUUCCCCCACCAGAGGACUGCUGGUGAGCAAGCACGAUGCGGUGUAGGACACCGAGCGGUAUGCUCUUGCGGCUCGCAGACCUCUACUAGCAUACCAUACCACAUAUGUAAACAUCAAUGCUUCAUACAUAAAAGAACAAUACAUUUACAAAUUUAGUACAUAUACCGUUAUUUUGAUAUAUAAGAUUUAUUUCAAAUGAUAAAUGUUUUGUUGCUUCAAUUAAA